rnacentral:rRNA from 1 species
AGGCGAUCCCUCCAGUGGCUAUCGUGGAAGAAACUAACCAAGCCAAAGAUCAAAGGAGGGAUGGGCUUUAAGGAUCCUGAACUGUUUAAUCUCGCCAUGCUCGGCAAGCAAGGCUGAAGGCUAUUGACACAUCCCAACAGUUUAUGUGCGCGUGUACUAAUAGGAAAGUAUUACCCAAACACCGAUUUUCUGCAUGCCACGGUUCCCACUCGUGCUUCCUCAACCUGGAGAGCGAUCGUGGCGGGUAGA